rnacentral:rRNA from 1 species
GACGAACGCUGGCGGCGUGCUUAACACAUGCAAGUCGAGCGAGGACCGCACUCCUUUGGGGUGUGGAGUCGAGCGGCGAACGGGUGAGUAACACGUGAGUAACCUGCCCCUGGCUUCGGGAUAGCCCCGGGAAACCGGGAUUAAUACCGGAUAUGACUGGGAAGGGCAUCCUUUCUGGUGGAAAGGUUCCCUCGUUUGGGGGUUCUGGCUGGGGAUGGGCUCGCGGCCUAUCAGCUUGUUGGUGGGGUGAUGGCCUACCAAGGCGACGACGGGUAGCCGGCCUGAGAGGGCGACCGGCCACACUGGGACUGAGACACGGCCCAGACUCCUACGGGAGGCAGCAGUGGGGAAUCUUGCGCAAUGGGCGGAAGCCUGACGCAGCGACGCCGCGUGGGGGAUGAAGGCCUUCGGGUUGUAAACCUCUUUCAGCAGGGACGAAGGUGACGUGUACCUGCAGAAGAAGCGCCGGCUAACUAC